AUUUUUUAAACAGUGUUUCCUGCUUGUUCAAGGACGAGUGUUUCAGAAAUCGUUUGUCAGUUUAGAGAAGGAUUUGCCGAAAGACUUUGUUUUGUUGAUGGUUCAGUUCUUUUAAUCUAUGGAAAUGGCGGACACAGUAAAGCGGUAAGCUUGAGAUGACACAAAAAUAAUAAACUGUAUUUCACUUU